UACGUAGGGUGCAAGCGUUGUCCGGAAUUAUUGGGCGUAAAGAGCUCGUAGGUGGCCUGUCGCGUCGGCUGUGAAAACUCGGGGCUCAACUCCGAGCUUGCAGUCGAUACGGGCAGGCUAGAGUUCGGCAGGGGAGACUGGAAUUCCUGGUGUAGCGGUGGAAUGCGCAGAUAUCAGGAGGAACACCAAUGGCGAAGGCAGAUCUCUGGGCCGUAACUGACGCUGAGGAGCGAAAGCAUGGGGAGCGAACAGG
rnacentral:rRNA from 1 species